UUCUAUUUUGCAAAUAUUUUGAGAGACAUUGAUUUUUCUCCCCGUGCUCCCCCGUUCUUCCCUGCGGAGUGCGCUGCGCCGCUGUCGCCCCCCGGAGGUGAUCCCUCCCUCCUGCCUGCCCGCCAGCCUGACCUGUGCCCGGCUCGCGGGCCGCAGCCUCGGCCCCGGCGCGCCCCCGGCAGCUCUCGGCGCGAUG
rnacentral:other from 1 species